GUCAGCCGCCGCGGUAACACCGGCGGCCCGAGUGGUGAUCGUGAUUAUUGGGUCUAAAGGGUCCGUAGCCGGUUUGGUCAGUCCUCCGGGAAAUCUGAUAGCUCAACUAUUAGGCUUUCGGGGGAUACUGCCAGACUUGGAACCGGGAGAGGUAAGAGGUACUACAGGGGUAGGAGUGAAAUCUUGUAAUCCCUGUGGGACCACCUGUGGCGAAGGCGUCUUACCAGAACGGGUUCGACGGUGAGGGACGAAAGCUGGGGGCACGAACCGGAUUAGAUACCCGGGUAGUCCCAGCCGUAAACGAUGCUCGCUAGGUGUCAGGCAUGGCGCGACCGUGUCUGGUGCCGCAGGGAAGCCGUGAAGCGAGCCACCUGGGAAGUACGGCCGCAAGGCUGAAACUUAAAGGAAUUGGCGGGGGAGCACAACAACGGGUGGAAGCCUGCGGUUUAAUUGGACUCAACGCCGGACAACUCACCGGGGGCGACAGCAAUAUGUAGGCCAAGCUGAAGACUUUGCCUGAAUCGCUGAGAGGAGGUGCAUGG
rnacentral:rRNA from 1 species